AGCCUGCGAGUCUUUGUAGCAAUACAAGGCAGACGGCUCAGUAACGCGUAGUCAACCUACCCUAUGGACGGGAAUAACCUCGGGAAACUGAGUAUAAUGCCCGAUAGAACAUUAUGCCUGGAAGGGUUUAUGUUCCAAAUGAUUUAUCGCCGUAGGAUGGGACUGCGGCCUAUCAGUUUGUUGGUGAGGUAAUGGCCCACCAAGACUAUUACAGGUACGGGCUCUGAGAGGAGUGGCCCGGAGAUGGGUACUGAGACACGGACCCAGGCCCUAUGGGGCGCAGCAGGCGAGAAAACUUUGCAAUGUGCGAAAGCACGACAAGGUUAAUCCGAGUGGUUUCUGCUAAAGGAACCUUUUGUUAGUCCUAGAAACACUAACGAAUAAGGGGUGGGCAAGUUCUGGUGUCAG
rnacentral:rRNA from 1 species